rnacentral:rRNA from 1 species
GAUGAACGCUGGCGGCGUGCCUAACACAUGCAAGUCGAACGAAGCUUGACGGAUGAUUUCUUCGGAAUGAAACCUGAUAUGACUUAGUGGCGGACGGGUGAGUAACACGUGAGCAACCUGCCUUUCAGAGGGGGAUAACGGCUGGAAACGGUCGCUAAUACCGCAUGAUGUGUUCGGAUGGCAUCAUCUGAACAUCAAAGAUUUAUCGCUGAAAGAUGGGCUCGCGUCUGAUUAGAUAGUUGGUGGGGUAACGGCCUACCAAGUCUACGAUCAGUAGCCGGACUGAGAGGUUGAACGGCCACAUUGGGACUGAGAUACGGCCCAGACUCCUACGGGAGGCAGCAGUGGGGAAUAUUGCACAAUGGGGGAAACCCUGAUGCAGCAACGCCGCGUGAAGGAUGACGGUUUUCGGAUUGUAAACUUCUUUUCUUAGUGACGAAGACAGUGACGGUAGCUAAGGAAUAAGCAUCG